UAUUAUUCUGCACUAAUGGAAUAAUGCAUGAGUGGCGACCGCAUAUAUAAAACUUGGCGAGCCGGUUUCAGGCCGCUCAUUUGACCAUCGGAUAGUUGGCUUGGCUUUAGGAAGCAAAACUCGCAGCAUUCCUGGUCAGACUGUUGACCGGCAAAGUGUUCUGUUCUGCUCCUUUCGGCUAGGCGAUCUUUCGAAAAUGUAUCCGAAUCCGUUCGACCGCAAACACAGUUCGAUUCGCCAGUUCAUCGAUAAGUUGAUUUCUCCCGAUUCGUACAACAAACGGAAAACGACAACCUCCAAAGCCACGAGUCCUUAUCAGUCGUACCCUGAUAAUGCCUGGAGAAAACAACACCAGACCACGUUAUCGGUUGCUGCAAAGUGAUGCCACUCCACCGGACCACGUGCAGCAAAGUGACAAUAUUUGAUGGGUAUCAGAAAAGUUGAAGUGAUAAUAGCUCAACCUUAUCACUCACUGUUCCAGUAGUUUUUAUCAGUUUCUACGAAGUGAUAAUAGCUUAACCUUAUCACUUACUUCCAAGUUACUAUGCUCUAGUUGUUAUCAUUAUUCGCGAAGUGAUGUGACAAAACAAUCACUUGCUGCAAUGUGACAUUCAUCCAGUUGUUAUCAGUUAACGUAAAGUUUUAGAUGAUAGCUCCACCUUAUCACCUGCUGUAAAGUGACUAUGUUCAGUUGUCAUCAGUAUCCGCGGAGAGAUAAAAUUUCCAUCUUAUCACUAAACAACAAGUGAUAAUGCUGCAGUUACUAUUAAUAAUGAAAAAUUAAUAAGAUCUUCAUACACAUCGCUUGUCACAAAAUGAUGAUAUCCAGUUUGAUUAUCAUGAGCCUCAAAGUGAUAAUGAUAUCUUGAAAUCAUGUCUUGCUACGUAGUGACAAUGUCAAGUUUCUAUCAGCAACCUCAAAGUGAUAUAAUCAUCAUCCAUUCCCAUCUCUAGAUGCUAAGUGAUGCUAUUAUCUAGUGAGCGACAUGGUUGUUGUAUCUAGAUAGAGACUGGACUACUUGUUGUAGAUGUUAUAACACAACAGACUGCGACGUAUUAUUGAUUGGAUUUUAAAAAUCCCGCCUAUUUUUCAGUUUUUGAAAGUAUUAAUAUUAUCGCUCAAUAUUUGAGUAACUCUAUGUCAACCACGUGAAUUGAUCUUCAACGUAGCCAUCAACUGAGACUGUCAAAUUCUACGAUAAAAUACUUGGAUCUAACAAAAAAUUAUUCAGACUGAUGCCGUCUUAACAUCAUGGAUCUUCGAUCACCUAUUACAGCAAUGUUCACAUUCAAAAUAGAGGUUCAUGGACGAUUCCUCAAACCAAACUCCAAUGCUCUACUUUGAGGUUCUGACUCAGUUCCAUGGUCCAAAAAGCUUCUUUGAGCUCCAAACAGCUGUUCUUCCAUGAGAGAAGUGAUAACCUUCGUCAGUCACACAUCAAAUUCAAUGUAGGUUCACUUCUUCUACGGCGUCACAUAGGACCUAUUGUUUGUAACCAAUUCUGCUAAUUAGAUAAAUCAUGACUGAAGAAGGUCCUAUUUCUAUUCUAUUUAUACAAUGUACUUAGAAUGCAUUCUUUGUACUUUUUAUCUAUUCAUGAUCGUUAGUCAAUCAGAUGACACAGUGAAUUCUAAAUGUUCAUAUUAUCAUUUCAAUUCAUUCACGUAAAUUCUUUCUUUUGGAAUGUCUGAUCCAUGUUAUGUGCCAUAUUAAGUUAAGCCGAUGCUUUUAUUUAUUGAAUCAUCAAUUUUUAUUGUCGACAGUAAUAUUGUACGUGAACAUUUUAUUCCUCAAAUAGAUUAAUAUCAAUGUAUUUAAAUAUUGAGAAUAAGAAAGUACACAUAUUUAUAAUACACAGUCUCAACUCCUUUCAUAUC